GACGAACGCUGGCGGCGUGCUUAACACAUGCAAGUCGAACGCGCCUGUCCUCUGGGUUUCUGGGGGGUGGGUGAGUGGCGAACGGGUGAGUAACACGUGAGUAACCUGCCCCCUUCUUCGGGAUAACGGUCUGAAAGGGCUGCUAAUACCGGGUAUUCACUGGUCUCCGCAUGGGGUCUGGUGGAAAGGGUUUUUUCUGGUGGGGGAUGGGCUCGCGGCCUAUCAGCUUGUUGGUGGGGUGAUGGCCCACCAAGGCUUUGACGGGUAGCCGGCCUGAGAGGGUGACCGGUCACAUUGGGACUGAGAUACGGCCCAGACUCCUACGGGAGGCAGCAGUGGGGAAUAUUGCACAAUGGGCGAAAGCCUGAUGCAGCGACGCCGCGUGAGGGAUGGAGGCCUCCGGGUUGUGAACCUCUUUCGCCCGUGGUCAAGCCGCGACGUGGGUCGUGGUGAGGGUAGUGGGAAAG
rnacentral:rRNA from 1 species